rnacentral:rRNA from 1 species
ACGAGUGGCGGACGGGUGAGUAAUGUCUGGGAAACUGCCUGAUGGAGGGGGAUAACUACUGGAAACGGUAGCUAAUACCGCAUAACGUCGCAAGACCAAAGAGGGGGACCUUCGGGCCUCUUGCCAUCAGAUGUGCCCAGAUGGGAUUAGCUAGUAGGUGGGGUAACGGCUCACCUAGGCGACGAUCCCUAGCUGGUCUGAGAGGAUGACCAGCCACACUGGAACUGAGACACGGUCCAGACUCCUACGGGAGGCAGCAGUGGGGAAUAUUGCACAAUGGGCGCAAGCCUGAUGCAGCCAUGCCGCGUGUAUGAAGAAGGCCUUCGGGUUGUAAAGUACUUUCAGCGGGGAGGAAGGGCGCUAAGGUUAAUAACCUUGUCGAUUGACGUUACCCGCAGAAGAAGCACCGGCUAACUCCGUGCCAGCAGCCGCGGUAAUACGGAGGGUGCAAGCGUUAAUCGGAAUUACUGGGCGUAAAGCGCACGCAGGCGGUCUGUCAAGUCGGAUGUGAAAUCCCCGGGCUCAACCUGGGAACUGCAUUCGAAACUGGCAGGCUGGAGUCUUGUAGAGGGGGGUAGAAUUCCAGGUGUAGCGGUGAAAUGCGUAGAGAUCUGGAGGAAUACCGGUGGCGAAGGCGGCCCCCUGGACAAAGACUGACGCUCA